rnacentral:tRNA from 1 species
GCCUUGAUGGUGAAAUGGUAGACACGCGAGACUCAAAAUCUCGUGCUAAAGAGCGAGCGAGUCCUCUUCAGGCA